rnacentral:rRNA from 1 species
AUUGAACGCUGGCGGCGUGCUUAACACAUGCAAGUCGAACGGAGUGGCGAACGGGUGAGUAACACGUGGGUGACCUGCCCUGCACUUCGGGAUAAGCCUGGGAAACUGGGUCUAAUACCGGAUAGUGUGGGAUGGGCCCGCGGCCUAUCAGCUUGUUGGUGGGGUAAUGGCCGACCAAGGCGGCGACGGGUAGCCGGCCUGGGAGGGUGGACGGCCACAUUGGGACUGCGACACGGCCCAGAGUCCUACGGGGGGCAGCGGGGGGGAAUAUUGCGCAAUGGGCGGAAGCCUGAUGCAGCGACGCCGGGUGGGGGAUGACGGCCUUCGGGUUGGAAACUCCUUUCACCAUCGACGCGGUAGAUGGAGAAGAAGCACCGGCUAACUACGUGCCAGCAGCCGCGGUAAUAC